rnacentral:rRNA from 1 species
UACGUAGGGUGCGAGCGUUGUCCGGAAUUAUUGGGCGUAAAGAGCUUGUAGGCGGUUUGUCGCGUCUGCUGUGAAAUCUCAAGGCUCAACCUUGAGCUUGCAGUGGGUACGGGCAGACUAGAGUGUGGUAGGGAGACUGGAAUUCCUGGUGUAGCGGUGAAAUGCGCAGAUAUCAGGAGGAACACCGAUGGCGAAGGCAGGUC